AGUAGGGUAGGGAGUACUCUUGCAUUCUCCAUUUUUUUUCCCAAGCUCGCCGUGAAGACCAAUUACAGCUAGGGAAGGAGUCGAUCGGUACACUUGUCCGCUUGUGGUCGCCGGCUGGCUGGCCGCCGCCAUGCCAUGGGAAGACGGCUACAGCCUACAGCGACAGCAAGCCAACUGCAGUAUAUUCCCGGUUGUUGCUGAAGCUGCCGUCGGGCGACGGUGACCACUCACCACCUAGCUGCAGUUGCAAAAUUGUGAAAGGCUCCACGAGCGUCUCAUUCAUCUGCCAGUCAUGGCGCCCUCUGACGCCGUCUCUGGCUCACUGCAGCCUGCAGGCGCCCGACGUCUCCACGCCACGGUCCACGGGAGGCGCCAAGGCGGCAGGCCAAUCCAUGAAACAAAAAUGUUGAGGAAGAAAUGUGUUGUAAGGAGUCCUUGAGUGUAAAUGUAAAAUUAGUUAGAGGAUGGAAAUGUAAAAUUAUAUGUAAAUAUUAAAGGGAACAAAGAGGAGAAGAACAGAGAUGGUUUGGCUCCUUUCUAGAGUAGUCCUGUACAAUACUGAUGUCCAGGAAAUGGAACUAGAUGCUUGUGAGUGAUUUUAGGAUCUUUUUCUCAAUAUAAUCGUGGAUUUCAUCA